rnacentral:rRNA from 1 species
ACGAACGCUGGCGGCGUGCCUAACACAUGCAAGUCAGGGAGAAAAAGGUAGCAAUAUCUUGAGUAAACCGGCGAACGGGUGAGUAACACGUAAGCAACCUUCCUUAUGAACGGGAAUAACCCCGCGAAAGCGGAGCUAAUACCCGAUGACAUUUCGAUGCGGCAUUGUAUUGAAAUCAAAGGCCCGCAAGGGCGUCAUAAGAUGGGCUUGCGUCCCAUUAGAUAGUUGGCGGGGUAAUGGCCCACCAAGUCGACGAUGGGUAGCUGGGCUGAGAGGACGAUCAGCCACACUGGAACUGAGACACGGUCCAGACUCCUACGGGAGGCAGCAGUGAGGAAUAUUGCUCAAUGGGCGAAAGCCUGAAGCAGCGACGCCGCGUGAGGGAUGAAAUCCGUUAGGAUGUAAACCUCUUUUACAGGGGAUGAAUGUGGCGCUUUAGCGCCAUUGACCGUACCCUGUGAAUAAGCACCGGCCAACUACGU